UUCAGCAGAUGUUCAAGCAAACAGUGCAGCUGACAAGUUUAUCUUGGAGCUCUUUGUGCAUUUCUCCCAGUACCGUUGCAUGUGACGUGUGUGUUUAUCUGUGCUUGUUCUGCUUGCAUAGACUCCGUCAUGGUUGAGUGGCCCCAUCAGCUCCUGGCGACCCACAGACUGAUACAGUGGGCUGUGACUCAUUUUGUGCACGGAUUCCUGUUUGUACUUUAUUUGUGAGGACCAUAAAGAAAUUGCUCCAGCUAGCUAACACAGAUUAUCGACCGCCCCAUGCCACUGGUGAUUCAACAUACCCUUCCAAAGCUUCCAGGAUUUGACAGACUCUCCUUAUGCUCACAUAUUUCUUCUGUCCGCCAAGCCCUUGAUGGAUUUCUCCUGCUCUUCCAAUAACUGGACCACGACUCACACUCUGCAUCACGACCUCCGAGUCUCGCCUUCGCCUGUUUGACAAGUACCACUCUGUCUGUCUUCUUGUCUUCCUGCGUUUGUCCUCUGCCUGAUUAUUGACUACAUCCUUAAGAUGCUGGAUCUGUAUGUAGUGCCCUUUUUAGUUUAUUAAAACAAAGUGUAACUUUGACUUAAAAUAUGCAAUGUUUAUGAUUUUACACACUGCAAGAAAAGAGGGAUUUUCGACAGCUAUUGACACCUAGCGCUGCAGUGCGCUUAGAAAUUGAGGGCUAUUGGCAAUGUGAUUUUGUUAUUUAUUUAUAAUGCACAAAAAUGUUUUCCAGCUGCGUCAAGGACCUACUGCCAGUCAUCCAGAUGUUGGUCAAGAAAGAGGCAUGUGGUGUUGCUCAUCCUGGCAGUACAUAUGUUUUUCUGUGUGACGAAGGAACCACAUCCUGUCGCUGACUUGGACACAAAAGCUGUAGAUGGCUGAACAAAGAUGGACUGUGGUGAGGUAGAGACCCCAAGUUCCCCCAGCCAAGGGCUCAGUGACCUCAGGUCUACACUACAGGAGAGACAUUGGACCUUUCCUGAAAGCAGCGCAAUGUUGGAUAAUGUUUGGACAAAAAAACACUGCCAAAUGGUCCAGAAGUGAACAAGCAUUUAUGUCUUAUUUUGUGUGGAAACUUUGAAAAAUAAAAUGAAAUAAAGAAAAAAAAGUUAUGUGCCUCAUUAAUGUUCCUCAUAUAUGAACAUGUUGCAUAAAAGCAAUAUCAUAUGAAUAUAUUUUAAUGCAGCAUGUAAUUUUAUAUAGAAUUU